UUCAAACACGUAAUAUAAUAUAAGAAGGGAUGGAUAAAUGAAGAAAGAUAGAAAUCUUUUAGACUUUUUUUUUGCUAAAAAAGAAGCUUAAUCAGCUCGAUUUUACGUCACGUUCUUCCACUGGGUAUAAGUAGAAAUUGUAAAAGAUCUAUAUAGAUUGUGGAACAGAGGCUGAGAAAUAUUUAACGUUCUCCUUGGUGUCCGAGCUUCGAGUAUGACCGAGAGGAAAUUACCACACACACUAGAGCUUUUUUCUCAACGAGUAUUGUGACGAUACCAUAACACGACUUUACAUCGGUACAAAUAGAGGUCGUCGUAAACCACUUUGCGUCGUAGUCAUGGACACCGCGCAAGCGCUUGUAAGCUCUCUCAUCGUAUUCACCCUACCCUUUUGUAGGGUACAUAUGUGUACAUGCAUACAUACGUACUCUAUAUAUGCUUACGUUAAUGGACGGAGCUUUCGGAGUGUUUGUAUGUAUUUGAGCAUCCCCAUUCUAAACUAUAGUUAGGCAUGCGUGAGUGUACAAGUUCAAUGUCAAGUUCUCCCUGCUGUCGGCAUGCGACUAUUCUGGAACAAAGCUUACUGCGAAAGUCUAGAGAUCUAUUAUAACUGUCUAGGUAUUUAAUUGAAAUUGUUAAUGAGAUCUUGUUCUUGACUUUUUUUUUUCUUUCUGUGAUUAUUAUACGUAUCUACAUU